GGGGGUGUGGCUCAGUGGUAGAGCCCCUGCCUAGAAUCCCCCAGUGAGGGGCUGGGGGCGUGGCUCAGCAGAUAAGUGCUUUUGUAAGUGGCAGGAGACCCUGGCUUCAACCUCCAGUACCACUA
rnacentral:tRNA from 1 species